UAGAAUAUGGUGUAUAGGUAGCACGAAGAAUUUUGAAUUCUUAGGUAUAGGUUCAAUUCCUACUAUUCUAG
rnacentral:tRNA from 2 species